UGUGAAUGCUACUUUUGAGUAUCUGUGAUUCUUAACUGUGAUUUGUCGCAGUUAAGAGUCGCAGUUAAGGAACAUAGGUCGUGUAUCCCUCCGCCACUGCUAUUUCUGCGAUUUCUGCUACUUCCGCGAUUUCUGCUACUUCCGCGAUUCCUGUGACUUCUGCUACUUCUGUGACUUCUGCUACUUCUGCGAUUUCUGCUACUUCUGCGAUUUCUGUGACUUCUACUACUUCUGCGAUUUCUGUGAUUCCUGCGAUUUCUGCGACUUACCACCGUAUGAGAAAGUUACAUCUGUCAACACAGAAAAUUGCAUCUCAACAAACCUGUCUUUGGCAAGUACCUGAACUACAUUUCAGUCACUCAGUAAAGUGAUAACUCAAAAUAUCAUUGUCAACAGAUCUGAAGAAAUUGCCACUGCGUCUUUAGACCGUUUUCGUCAGACGAGAGACACAGUUCUGACUCUGAUUACUGGUUGCUGUACGUAUCUAUCCACAUCAAGGCUGUUUUUGAGAGAGACUCGUGAAGAUUCAAGACAGUUCUUAGAGGAUUUGCAGUUUAAAAGUGAAAUAAUUGUGAAAUAAGUGUGUGAAUGAUUAAACUGUGUUUUAUUGAAGUUGUUGUGCGAUUUUAAAGGAAUAAUAAAUGUCAA